ACCUUACCCCCNCCUUAGAGUUUGAUCAUGGCUCAGAUUGAACGCUGGCGGCNGGCUUAACACAUGCAAGUCGAGCGGAGUGAUGGUGCUUGCACUAUCACUUAGCGGCGGACGGGUGAGUAAUGCUUAGGAAUCUNCCAUUUAGUGGGGGACAACAUUCCGAAAGGAAUGCUAAUACCGCAUACGUCCUACGGGAGAAAGCAGGGGAUCUUCGGACCUUGCGCUAAAUGAUGAGCCUAAGUCGGAUUAGCUAGUUGGUGGGGUAAAGGCCUACCAAGGCGACGAUCUGUAGCGGGUCUGAGAGGAUGAUCCGCCACACUGGGACUGAGACACGGCCCAGACUCCUACGGGAGGCAGCAGUGGGGAAUAUUGGACAAUGGGCGGAAGCCUGAUCCAGCCAUGCCGCGUGUGUGAAGAAGGCCUUUUGGUUGUAAAUUCAANGGNAGCGAGGAGGAGGCUCUUCUAGUUAAUACCCUAGGAUGAGUGGACCGUACUCGCANANAAGC
rnacentral:rRNA from 1 species